ACUCAAAUGAAUUGACGGGGACCUGCACAAGCAGUGGAGCGCGUGGUUUAAUUCGUCACAAAGCGUAGAACCUUACCAAGGUUUGACAUCUCUGGAAUCUCUUGGAAACAGGAGAGUGCCGUAAGGAGCCAGAUGACAGGUGCUGCACGGUCGUCGUCAGCUCGUGCUGUGAAGUGUCCCGUUCAGUCGGUUAACGAGCGCAACCCUUAUCCUGUGUUAUACGUGUCACAGGAAACUGCCCCAGUUAAUGGGGAGGAAGGUGAGGAUGACGUCAGAUCAGCGUGGCUCUUACGCCUUGGGUAACACACACGCUACAAUGGGGAGUAACAAUGGGUCGCCAAACCGCGAGGUGGAGCUAAUCCCAACAAACCUCCCCCCAGUUCGGAUUGCAGGCUGCAACUCGCCUGCAUGAAGUCGGAAUUGCUAGUAACGGCCAAUCAGCUACGUGGCCGUGAAUACGUUCUCAGGUCUUGUACACACCGCCCGU
rnacentral:rRNA from 1 species